rnacentral:rRNA from 1 species
GCUGACGAGUGGCGGACGGGUGAGUAAUGCUUGGGAACUUGCCUUUAGGUGGGGGAUAACAGUUGGAAACGACUGCUAAUACCGCAUAAUGUCUACGGACCAAAGGGGGCUUCGGCUCUCGCCUNGAGAGAGGCCCAAGUGAGAUUAGCUAGUUGGUGGGGUAAAGGCCUACCAAGGCAACGAUCUCUAGCUGUUCUGAGAGGAAGAUCAGCCACACUGGGACUGAGACACGGCCCAGACUCCUACGGGAGGCAGCAGUGGGGAAUAUUGCACAAUGGGGGAAACCCUGAUGCAGCCAUGCCGCGUGUGUGAAGAAGGCCUUCGGGUUGUAAAGCACUUUCAGUUGUGAGGAAAGGUUGGUAGUUAAUACCUGCCAGCUGUGACGUUAACAACAGAAGAAGCACCGGCUAACUCCGUGCCAGCAGCCGCGGUAAUACGGAGGGUGCGAGCGUUAAUCGGAAUUACUGGGCGUAAAGCGCACGCAGGCGGCUUGUUAAGCUAGAGGUGAAAGCCCCGCGCUCAACGUGGGAACUGCCUUUAGAACUGGCAGGCUAGAGUCUUGGAGAGGGGAGUGGAAUUCCAGGUGUAGCGGUGAA